CAGGAUCAUCAGCAGCAGCUUCAUCAGCAGCUUCAGGAUCAGCAGCAGCAGCGGCGCCUAACUUUAAGUCUGUUGCAUCUCGAUGGGUUAAUAGAUCUGGUCAGAACUGUGUCUGUUACAAUUGAUUCAACAUCUAAUUGUUGGCUUAUGAAAAAGCUUAUAAUAUGUAAUAUGUAUGCAUAUUUGCAGCAAUUAAUAAAUUUUCGUUAUUGAAAUCAUUGCA